rnacentral:rRNA from 1 species
UGAACGCUAGCGGCAGGCUUAAUACAUGCAAGUUGAGGGGCAGCAUGAUAUACGCGAGUAUAUUGAUGGCGACCGGCGGACGGGUGAGUAAUAGGUAGGAGACCUACCUCAUACAGGGGGAUAGCAUAGAGAAAUCUGUGGUAAUACCCCAUGAGGUUAUAUGAAUAGAGGCAUAUAAUCAAAGCAUAAGCGAUUAUGCGGUAUGAGAGGGGCCUACUGACCAUUAGCUAGUUGGUGAGGUAAGGGCUCACCAAGGCGAAGAUGGUUAGGGGUUUUGAGAGAGAGACCCCCCACAUUGGAACUGAGAGACGGUCCAGACUCCUACGGGAGGCAGCAGUAGGGAAUUUUGGACAAUGGGCGAAAGCCUGAUCCAGCCAUGCCGCGUGCAGGAAGAAGGCCUUCGGGUUGUAAACUGCUUUUAGUCUAGGAAAAAGGGGUGCGAGGUUAAUACCCUCGUGCUUUGAUGGUACUGGAAGAAUAAGCACCGGCUAACUACGUG